rnacentral:rRNA from 1 species
GACGUAGGGUGCGAGCGUUGUCCGGAUUUAUUGGGCGUAAAGCGUCCGUAGGUGGCUAGUCAAGUCUGCGGUCAAAGACUGGGGCUUAACCCUGGAAAGGCCGUGGAAACUGACGAGCUAGAGUGCAGUAGGGGUAGAGGGAAUUCCCGGUGUAGCGGUGAAAUGCGUAGAGCUCGGGAAGAACAUCGGUGGCGAAAGCGCUCUACUGGACUGCAACUGACACUCAGGGACGAAAGCUAGGGGAGCGAAUGGG